AAAAUAAUAAACAAUCUAGUAAAAUGCGGCGGGGGGAAAGUGCCCCGGGCCGGGGUCUCGCCUCCCCCCCCGUGAGGCGGAGGCCGGGGGGCGGGCGCGCCCGCCCGCCCCGCCCCCCGCCCCGCCAGGCCGGGCCUGCUGUGUCGCUCGCUUUCUCUCCCCGAGCAAGUGUCGGAGAGUAGUCAUGGGGACUGUUCCACUUGCAGCAAUGUUGGGAUCAAUCAUCUGAGAAAAGAUCCUGGAGAGACGAGGCAACGUAUUUUCCAUUUCUGAUGUCAGGAUUUGUUCUGUGAAACUGACCUUUAAAGCAGCCUGAAAAUGAGGAACGUGGCACCAGAGAGCAGAUCAGGAAGCAUGAAAUGAUACGUGAACUUAGCACUAGAAUCUGGAAGAGUUCUCAGACAGUAACACAACUGUUGUUUGCAGAUUGCUUGAAUCUUGACUCUACCAGGGAAAUAUUGUUGAGUACUUUAUACAACAGCUAUAAGGAAGACCUGAUGUGAACAUUGUUCACAAGUCUGCAAGAAAAAAACUCAACCAACCAGCAUUUCAUUUUAUGACCUGAAAAUUAUCCACUGCUGAUAUUGCUGCUGCUGUAAACAAGAUACUGGAGCAGAGUGGUCACAGCUUGACAUCCGACACAACGGUCCCCCUCUUUGGCACAAAUGGGGAGCCUGAAGGUUUCCAGUAAAGACAGAGAGGAUGGAAAAACACCUGGAGAAGAAAGGAGAAAUAGCCCUAAAAUUAAACCUCUCCUAAACCAACAUUUAAAAAAUUUUUCUCUAGCCCAAACUGUAAAAUACUUUUGCUUGUCUGUCAGAAAGAACUGCUCGACCCUCUGCCACUAGUGGCUGCCAAGCAGUGUCGUGUUGCAGCCAUGCUCUCCCCUUCGCACCACCAUGACGGGCAGCACAUGAGCACCAGCAUCAGGGCUCUGCAGUGCCCCUCAGACCCUCCUGACCCAUCAGCGUAGGGACUUUGGUGCCUGCCUAAAGGGAAUUUAACCAACCUCUUCCCAUGUGCCGGGGCAAGCUCCACUGCCCUUUCUGUGGUGAGCAGCAGGCCCACACUGCCAGCAGCGUCCUAUCAGUACCCAUCAGCAGAAGCAUCUCCUAAGCCAUACGUCUGCACAUUUUAGUAGUUACACAUGUGCACACUUCAGCACAUGUGCAGACAGGGAUGCACAAAUGCAGCAACCAUUUCCAGGUUAAUUCAGUGUCACCAAAGCAGUUAAAAUGUUAUCGGCUUGAAUCAGAAUGACCAGAACCAUGGCCCAGCUGAACUCAAAGCAGAUCUGAACAGAAGCAUUUACAAGUCCAUUUCUUUGAUUUAAAGUGCGAAGAGAUCAAACACUUUGUACAGAUGAGAAUUUUAAAUAUUAAGAAUGUUCCCAAAACCUUAUUUUAAUAGACACGAGGCUUCUGCUUCUUUUCAUUCUUCCGUCAGAUUUUUCUAAGGUGCGCAAAACCCGUAACAACUAACCACAGAACUAAACUGGCUGACAGUGAAAGCAGAUUUUUUAACAAUAAAAAUCCCAAAUUAACAGAAAAAGAGCAUUUGAAUGUGGUUUGCACUAAGAGCAUCCCACUCUCAAUCCAGGCUCAAGCUGCUCAGAAAAAGGGUCAAAAGAGUGGAGAAAAGCUUCCAAAACCCAAAACUGGAUCCUACCAGGGUAGGAUUGCCUGCAGCAGUAACUGAAGACAAGCCUAAUCUCCAGAGGACCUUUCUCAUAAGUCCUGGAGACACCUACCGAGAAUUGGGCCAUGCACAGGGCAACAGCGUAAGGUGCUACAGCUCAUCUAGGCCUAGCGGCAGAGUUGGCCCCUUGGAGACAGAGGCAAAAAUUUCACUUUAAGUACUUUAACGUAUUAUAAGUCCUGUUUAUUCAGAACAUUAUAAAUACCAUGAACAACAAGUAAAAUGUUUAUAAAAUCUGGAUUUAUUAGUUUUUCCUUAUUACAGCAUACUUUUCAAAUGGCAGGAUUUAACAAUGUUCACUUUGUUAUAUAUUAGACUCCAAAUUAUGUAUUUUAAAAAUAUUCUCAGUAUACAAUAAAACAAAAAUCCCAACAAAAUUUAUGAAGCUACUGUAGCUCACAAGUACAAGAACUAAGUGGUAAUGAAUCAUAAAGGAAAUCUGACAUUAUAGGUAGAAGAAAAACUACAUGAAUUGGUUUGUUUUUUAUCACAAAUCUCAUUUUUUUUCUUUAAAAUAGAUGCAUUAUGCAAAGAAAAACAUCAUUACAAAGAGGCAUGUGGUGUUUUGUUGAUGGCAUUUAUUCUGUAACCCAAACAAGAAAACUAAUCCACUGUGAGUAGCUGAUGCUAUUUACAUACUUUACUGAAGUAUUUUCAUCCCAGAGCCUCAGAGAGCAUCUUAGAAUAUUAAUGAACUAAGCCUGGCAACGCUCCAGUAUUAGUAAAUAAGAAGUUAACAUCUUUCCCAUUUUAUCAACAGGGAAACUGAGGCACAGGGCUAAUUCAGAUCCAGGCAAUUCCAAAAAGAGAAUUCCUGGGUCUUGAUCCUCUCAGACACAUCUCAAUGGAGAGACCAUUCUUCCUCCUUGUGAGAUGUCUGGUGACAUCUGUUUGAAACCUUGCCAUUUUUUCAUGUUUCAAUUUAAACAAAAUAGGUGACAUAUAUCUAUACAGUUUCAUUAUGAUCAUGUUUACUCAAAAAAAGCAUUAAUGGCUUUUGUUUUUAGAUUAAAAAUGACAACAGCAAAAAGUAUAUCUUCAGUCCCUCCAAAGACCUUUGCAAAGCUGUCUCAUUAUACCCAAAAUACUGUAACUGUUCCCUCUAUUUCUGUGAAGGUAAAUGCUCAAAACCAUUAGUUUAGAAAGACAGAACUGUGCUAUUUUUUAAAAAAGAUAAGAUCUACUGCACAAAAUCUGAAAUGAAAAUACAGACACUUUAAAGUAUCUGUGUGGACAGAGCAGCUACAUGCACAAAAGCUGUAACUUAAACUUUUGGGCAUCAGGAACAUUCCUCAAUCAGUCAAGUAUUUGAAACAAGUUAGCUGAGAGAUUCGCAGCCAGGUUGUGGCCUUUAUGAACCAACAUGAAACAUUUCACAUGGUGAAUAUCAUCACAAGGGUUUUACUUACUGUGACAGCAAAGUAUCAUCCCACAUCAAUAAGAUUAUUUCUAAAAGAUGUUUAAAAAUAACUCAGCAGUAAUGCUUGCUGAAAGACUAAAAGUUAAAUAAAAAUAUGUUGCAGAUAUAAGAUGACAGGAAUUUGCAAAUUAAAAAAAACUAAAAAGACUGUGCUUGAAUUUGGUAUAGAUGUGUACAGCACAAAUCCAGCAAUUUUAAGGCCAUUAAGGAGUGUGCAUAAUUUAUUUGCAGGCAUUUCACUGUUUACAUGUUGACAACUAAAAUACCUUAAUGUAGGAAGAAGCAGCCUUUAAGCUUGAGAAGCUUUGCUGUCUAACCGUAGCGGGAGCGCGGGCUGCCCGGCCCCCGGGGGCAGGACGCAGCAGCUUCGGGCUUCAGCAACCGCUUCUGGGCAGCACCCAAUUGCCUGAGAGUUGUCUGGCUUCAGAAGAAGCCCCCUCAAAUUCCCUGUUGGAAAGAGGGUUUGUGCAUGUUACAGCAUUACGAGCAGCACCGUGAAAUAGGGCCUGACUUGAAGUGGGUGCACGUAACUGUGCCUCCGGGUACUGUAGUGAUCUCCAUCCCGGCAUCUGGCCUGACUGACAAUUUGGUCCCACCAAUCUCUGCCUGUGGUCCUGACCGGGAGGUGGCAAUCCACACUGUGCAGUGCAACCACAGAUACUGCACAGUGAUUUAAGCAGCUUCUCUUGUUUUCAGUCUCUCACUUCUGCAGUAUCCCUCAUUUCCUCUCCUUGAUUACUUCAGGUGCCUACCAGACUCCCACCAGAAGGCUUCCUUGCUGGGCAAGGAACAAACUGCACCAAGAUUUUAUUUAGGAACACGUCCUGGAAGCAGCAGUGACUCUGGAAGCUUCUGGGAACUUGAUGUCCCUCUCGUAACUGGAGGGAGCUCACCUACAUCCCAGGCAGCUUUCAACAACUCCCAGGGCCUGCUGUGCUUCCAGAAACCCUGCGUACCUCAAUUUGGGAUGGGCGCCCAGAAGGCAAAAAAGCCCCAAAUGCCAUCAAGCAAAGCUACGCCAGUUUGGGCACAAGAACGUUUGCCCAGGGGCCACAGGGAGCCCCCCGGUUCAGUGAGGUCAGUCAUUGCCCACAGACCGAGGAGGAGCACCUCACUUGGCUGCCGUGACAGCCUCUGCAGGAGCAGACAACCUGCAGAACAACAUCCCCUCUCGCAUGUCCCAGACUUCUCGCCUGUUUCUGCAAGGCUCGUUUCCACUGUACCGUGUGAUGGAGGAGGGCACGCAGGCUAAACCUGCGAUCAGUUUUUAAAACAAUGCAAAUAAAUACCUAGAUGCAAAUGCCUUAGGCUAUCUACCAUCACCUCCCAUUUUUGCACAUGGGCUUCUGAUUCAGACGGGGCCAGAGGCAUUUGAACGCUAUUAGAAAAAAAGUCAAGCCUAGGCUGAAACUUCAGGAGACUCAUCAGCUUAGGCUCAGGCUAAUGAGUAGAGGCUACCAUGUAUAAAUAUAUAUGCAUACAAAAUUAAAUUACGUAUAUUAAUAUCUUUAAAAAUAUAUAUACACACACACUUGCAUGCAUGAAAACCAUUUCUCAAUAGUCCCUCUGUUGAGAAACCUAAUUAAUCUAAAUUAAUCUAAUAAAUAAAUUAAAUCUCUGAGAACAUACAUCAGUUCUUCUGAAAUUCCUAUGUAAAUGCAAUCUACUGUGACUGGAUUUUUCAUAAAUAUAUAUUAGAAUUCUUUGUUGUAGUCGCCCUUGUGGGAAUAACACAGUUUGCAAUUUACACAAUUAAGUAUAGGCUUUGAAAAUUAUCUGAAGAACUGGUAUAGCCAGUAUAAGUAACUUCCAGGGUAAACAGAAAUGAUCAGAACAGAAAACCAGGACUAGAGCACAUGGCUCCAAAACAUUUAUAUUGCCAUAAUACAUCUAGAUGCAGAGGACAACUCCCUGCUUCCCACCCCCUCCACCCUCCAAAAAUCCCCUUUAAAAGCUUUUUUUGAUUGUAACUGGAGUUAUGAUUCAAAUAAUUUAAUGAGGCUUAAUGAAUGCAGAGAAAAAAAUUUUGAUGACACAUAUGAUACAAAAGAAGUCACAUUGUAAAAUCUAAAGAAAACCUUCAGAUUUGGGGAUGGUAUAUAACACAUCUCCUUGCCAAGGAAUCAGGGCAGUCUUCUCAGCCUAUCUGCAUAAUAUUUUUCCCUAUUCAGGGAAACUAUUUUUAAAUACGCUGUUAAAAUGACAUCUUAUAAAAACAGUGUACGAGCUAAUAUGAGCAAUACCAUGUGUUGUUUCAAUCAGAUUAAAGCACAGUUAAAGGCAAUUCUAACUAAAAGGAAGUUUUCAACUACAACCACCAGAAUAGAGGACAUGAUUUUGAAAAUCAAUGAAGGUCCCAUCUUUUUCAUAAAACACACUCAUAUAGUAGUAUGAUGAACUGCCUCAGCACUACUGUGUACUAGUGUCCCCCCAACAGGGCAGGUGUGCUACUAGCAAUGGAAGGUAUUGUAAAGAUGGAGCCUUAGAAACUUCAUAGUAGAAAGAAAUCAGUGUAUAGGCAGCACAUCCAUCUUGCAUAAACUUCAUUUUUGGUAGAAAAUAUAAGAAAAGUAUUGGCUUGCACUUAUGUUACAUUAUACCCUGUCUUAUCAUAGUUUUCUUUUGUCACCCAUGCUUACUUGGAUCAUCUGAGGUUUCAAGUACAUUCAAACUCUUUCUUGGGUUUCUCUCUUGGAUCAAAUUCUUAGUUUUCAAUCAACCAGAGUGAGCAACAGUCUGAUUACAAGAAACUGCGUUUCUAGCAGGGACUUCUGCUACAUCAGGAGGAGUUUCACAUACAAAACAUUUGAUCCUUCUUGUGCGCAAGCUGUCUUAUACAUGACAGGAAUAGUGCAUGAACCACAAAGCACCCUGUUCGUGCAAGAACAGUAUAAAUCCACCAUCAACCCAGCAUAGCCCAUUGACUGGGUCUCCAGUCAAGAAAAAUUCUGAUCCAGUUAAAUUUCCUGUACAAAUUUAUGUUUUACAAAAAAGGAAAUAAAGGCAAAAUUUCAUAUGGCCACAAACUAGUGGUACAAAAAAAUAACCGAGUCCUUAUGUCUGAAGCAUAAAAACCACUCGAUGAAAAAAACGUGGUCCAGAAGAUAAAAUGCAAUAAAUUAUUUCAUUUGUGCUAAAAAGCAUUCCAAUUCUGUAGUUUUAAUUCUUUACACACUUUUUUUUAGUGUUCUUUUAUUCCUCUUCUAAUUAUAACUAUUUUUUGCUUCUGUCCCCAUCUUUCCAAUACUGUUCAGUCUGCAUUUCUGUAAGACGUGAGACAGUACGCUGAAAUGCAAAAAUUUCCUCUUCUCCUGUAAACAUGGAGAGUCCUUUGGCGGAAUCCUACAUAAAUACACAAAAAUGGUACCACAAAACUGUGAGAAACAUAGCUGUACUGAAGUCCAUCCUGUCUAAACGGUAACACUGAAUGCUUUACAGGCUUGAAUAACACAAGACACCAGUAUGACACCAAUGCAAAAUAAAGUUAACCCCUAAAAUUAAAGAGGAACACCUAUUUCAGCUAGUUAAUCCUCUGAAGAAACAUAGCAAAGCAAAUAAUUUGGUUUAAAAACAACUUGAUGACAUUGUAACCAUCUAUUUCCACUUUUCUGUUGACUCUAAUUGUACAGGGCUUUUGUCAAGACCAUUUAAAAAUUCACUAAGAAUGACUACGUUACAAGGGAAAGGAAAAACGGAGUAAGGGGCAUGCAAAAUAGUAUUCAUUGUGAGGAACUGAGAGAUAGCCCUGUAUAUUCUACAAAGAGCUAGAAUAGACCAUUUUUAUUUCUGUAUUUUAAAUAUAAGAGCUAAACUUAAAUCACUAUUUUCAUAAAUGGUUGAAUAGAUAUAACCAUUACCAAACAAAAUGCCCCUAAAACUUACGCAAAAUGAUUCUAUAUAUUGUGAUAAUUUCUUUGACCAUGAAUGAAUAAUGUAACAUACAAUUAUGAGAGUGACAAAUACACUGCAGAAGAAGCAGCAAAUCACUAGUUAAAUGUUGACUUGAUUUCUUUUCCUAAAUUGCUCUUGUAAUUAUGAGACCAAAACCAAUUUUGCCACAAAAGGGAGACGAUGUUAAUACCAUGUACCUGGCUCAAGUCCAGAUCAUCCAUCAACACUCUGUUGUCCUCUAGCUCACCAUUGUCAUGUUCUACCAGGAACAAGCUUUGGAGAGGAGUUGCUGCCGAACAAAUAAUACGCACCUGAGAGAGGAAAAACACGCAACAAUAUGAUCACUUGGGUUUUAUACACCAGGGAUAAAAAUGCAUCUUUUAUGAAAAGCAAACUUCAAUUUAUGACCUUGUUUUUUCCCAGUGCUGAUUUUGCUUCUGUGAUUGAAACCUCUGUAAAUCCAUGUGAAGUGCUGCAUUUAUCAUUAAUAUUCCAUUAGCAAUUCUGCAACAUAAUGCAAAGCCUACAGGGACCAUUCCUUCUGAAAUUAGUAAUACAUUCUCAUGAAUCAUCCUGUUUUCCCGUUCGCAACCACGCAACUUCCCUGUGACAUCUAUGGAAAAGAAUGACUACAAAAACUUGCAGCCUCCCUUCUGUUACUAUGGGCUUCACAGCCAGAAACCAGGAGACUAACCACCACAAUGAUGGCUACCAGCAACAGUUUCACAUACAACCUCUGAAAAGUCUCACGCAAAUGUAGAGUAGCUGAACUUGCAAUGUUUUGAUGAAAUAAAGCAAGAAAAGGUUCAAGAAAGUCUGAAGCGACAGGUGGAUGGAAAUAUUACAGAGAAAGCCACCAAAUAUUCCAAUAUCAGAUACAGAUUAUAGCUAGCUGGAUGAGAAUCAUAUCAAAUGCAAAAGAAAAGAAGAGAAGCACUAAAAACAACAUAUAUGAGGAUGCUCCUGGAGAUUUUAAGACUGUCUGGAAAAAGAAAAGGACUUAUGUAAUGAUAAUUUUUAUUCUGUAUUUAGCACAGAAGUACUGUUAAGUAUGGAGAAGAUCAAGUAUGCCUGUAUGCAGGGUACCUGGAAGGGACAAGAGCAGCAACUUGAUUGCAUGUGAGAGGAGAAAUAAUUUCUUAUGUCUCUCUCCAGGUAUGAAAUUACAGACAUCACUGCUACUCAUGUUCAUUCUUUUAUCACAUUAUGAGGCCAAGCACUCUUUUAUCAAAGCUCAAAACUCUGAGGAAUUACUCCCCUGUGCCCCAGACCAUACUUCUGAAUGCCCUCCUCACUGCAAAUAAAAAGGCAAAGUCUCAAAUAUUAAAAGCCAGUUCCUAAAAGGAAAAAAAAUUAAUGCUUCAAAUGUUUGCAAAAUCCACAAACUGAAACACGCAGCCACAGAGCUGUACACCUUCCUAAAACUGCAAGAAUUGUGUGUGCACCUUGGUGGUAUCCAGACAUGAAAAUGGAAAACUGUGAGGUGGGAUGUGGGCUAUGGAGGACAAAAAUAAGGCUAAUAUAUUUCAAAUGUGAGAAAAGGAAAAAUUAAUUCUUUUGGUUCUUACGUGGAUAUAAAAACAGAGGGUUACAGUUCGCAUCCUUGUCACAGCCAAACAAGAAUUCAAACUAUUUCAGCAGUGUAGGAGGCAGGCAUUUCGAAAUUCCUCAAAUUAAACAUGUAAAAAGUACAUCAUUUUGAGCUGUUUAACAAGAAUUUCUGAACCCCCUAAGCCAAACCUUAAUAAUAUUUUAUCAAUGUUGACAGAAAAAUGUCUUUGGAGACAUUAUCAUACGAAAGAUCUGAGCCUAACAGCCAUGACUAGUUUGAUAAAGUUCAUACAUCCCUGUCAAGACUCAAGCCCACUGAAAAGCAACUGAAACUCAGUCACUCUGUUAUAUUUGGCUCAGUUGGCCGCAGUUGUAGUCCUCUACAUACAAGAGUCUUCAAGCCUUCUACUUUUAGAGUGUAGAAAGACAGGACCACAGAGAUCAAGACAAAAAUUUUUAAUCUUGCUUUCAACAGGGACUUGCUCUUAUCUUGGACAAAGCAUUUAAUUUCCUUCCGCCUUAUUCUACUUUGUAAAAAGCAUCAAUUACCAAAUUUGCAAACAUUCUGGGGACAGUUUAAAUCCCGUUUGUAUUCCUCUAAUCUAGGUAUGGACGCAAUUUCCAUGCUGCUCCCAAUUGCUCAGAAGCUCUUCUAACUGUCCCUUAAUGGUCAAAGCGCUCCAAGCGCAGGCGAGCGUGACGCAGCAGCACUCGGACAGCUUCUCCUCAAGUCACCUCUCCCUGGCCUGUUAUUCUUGCAGCACUGGCAAGAGGCUGGCACCAGCACUCAUGCACCGAUUCUGGGCAACAAAAUAAUAUCAGGGCCAGAGAAAAUGGGUUCAAGGCCAAACUACCCUGUGGCGGUGUGAUUCACGGACUCCGAUGUGCUGGAUCAGAAUCAACUUUAUUCAAGCAAGCAAGCCCUUUAUAUAAGCUCUAGCCUAGAUCGGUACUUUCUUGAAGGUCAAGUUCCCAUCAUCACUCCUUCUCGUUCCGUGCGGCUACUACCUUAUAUACAUACUGCUAUUUAUUCCUCCCGAGGCUUUCGGCUCCUUAACUCUGUCUUGUCCAAUCCCUUGCUGUCUGCCCAUACACUACCCCAGUACUAGAGAUUCUGGUUGUGUAUUCCAUAUACAGAAACUCUGUUUAGGAUCAAAGUUCCCCUUUUUCACCAGCCAGCCCGCUCCUCCCCAGUUAAAUACGCUGUCAAAAUAUCCUCAUCUCUCUGGUGUAUUGUCUAUAGGCGUUUUUUUCCUCAUCUUGCAGCAAGAUACUCAGCAGUGGCUGCGUCCUGACUUGCAAAAAUACAGGUUUGGACAAGACAACAAGAUUGGUGGCAAAUGAUUUUUAGAAAUUUACCAUUACCCUCUGUAUAACUCUCUGGGGUUGAAAUCUAUUUUAUGAACUUUAGUCACAGAAAGUAUUCCAUUUUAGUCAGUAGCAUAUAUGAAGGUAUUACUUCCUCUUAAGUUACAAAUGAGGCUACAAAUCCUCCUAAUAUUGAUAAUAUAUGAAAUCCUCUUACUAAAAUUUUAGCCUGAUUAAUCUGGUUCUAUGAACAACAUUCUAAAAAUAGCUUAAUUUUUUGGUGCGUGUUUUUGGUAUUGUCUGAUCUUUUUUCUUUUCAUCAAUUAUUCAUCAAAACUGAACUUUAGAACCAUAACACACUUAUGUAACAACUCUCACUUACUGUUUGAUACCAGCUCUUUCAAUAAGCUGCACAAAUCUUUUGCAAUAAACAUUAACAGAUAAAAAAUCUUUCUUAUGUAUUAUUGUUCUUGUAUUUAAAAACAUGUAGAUAAGGUAAAACUGUUGUAGAUUUUUGUCAUUAACUCUGAUGCCAGGAGUCACUAUUUUACAGGCAUCAUACUAAUGCAAAAUGCAUUAGCACUAACAUGGGCUUCCCUCCUGACAAAGUGUUUAGUCCACUUCAGCUUGUCUGACUGAAUUCUCACCUUCAUUUGUUUUUGUUUCUCUGUCUGCUUAAUGCAUUUUCAGCUAUCGACAUCUCAGUUCAAGUAGGAUGUUUAUUAUUUACAGCUCUCUGUGGACUGUAUUAAGAGUCAGUUGUCUUCUGUUUCUAUUAUACAUUACAUUUAAUUAAAGUAUAAAGCAUCC